UAUAGCUUAGUGGCACAGCACGUGCCUGGCAAGUGUGAGGUCCUGAGUUCAAUUCCCAGUA
rnacentral:tRNA from 1 species